UCCCUGGCAGAGGCUGGGAUGCAGGCAAGCCGAGGUGGCCCACAUGCCAGUCCUGGACCAGGGAGUCCGUGACGGUCUCUGCACAGAUGUUCCCAGGAGAGCCCAGAGACUCUAGUAUUGGGCAGGACGUGCUGGUGCUGGUUCUACCCAAGGUGUCCCACAUGCUUGCCAGGCGCAGUGGCCACCCCUACUCUGCCCCUGGCCUCACCAAGAUGCCAGACCCCUCGCGUGAGCAUCAGAGCCCCGGCCAGAGGCGUCAGGCCACGUCCGGGAAAGGAGGAGCCAGACCAGGGAGCACAGAGCCAGAGGGGUGCUGCCCUGUCUGACUGGCAUCUUUUAA